rnacentral:lncRNA from 1 species
AUCGCUUUUGUGUUUCUACUUCUAGCGACUGGUGAACCUGCCUUAACUUUAGCGGUAGGAGUAACAUUUGCGUUACACGACGCCAUUUUGGAUGCGAGAAAAGAAUUCGGAUAUAAGGACACUGAAUGGCUUUCAGUCGAUGUACCCUACAGCGUGGAGAAUAUAUUAAAAGCAAUUUCACCUAAUUAUGAAUACUACAAAUUGUACUAAAUUAAUUUUAGACGAAACUGUAUAUACUCGUAUAUAGAUAAUAACUAAAAUAAAUAAAUUUAAAACGA